UACUACAUGCAUUCUAUUUUAGGAAUUCAAUUGCAUUAUAAUUUGUCUGUUUGUCUUGCAUCAGAUCAGAGGUGAUCGGCUGAAUAUCAAUAUUAGAAUACUGAACAUCAGUAAAGUUGUGCAUGAUUUAUGUGAUGAUUGGAUUUCAAUGCAUAAUAUAAAAUACUCUUCUUGAAACAUAAAAAUAAAAUAAGUAUUUUAUUAUAACAAUACAUGAUGCUGUGAUGAUGUGGUACUAUUCCUCCCCCUUUUUUCUAAUCUCCUUCCACAGGAACCACAAACAAAUCCAGAUAGCUGCAACCCGCAAAAUUGAAAAAAAAAAAAAAGAAAAAAAAAAAAAGAGGGAGAAAAGGAGGGGGGAAAACACCAAAGAUGAGAAAGAGAUUAAGUAAAUAAAUAAAUACUCCUUAAUAUGUUGAGAUCUAGAUCCUUAUAUUUGAAUCAAAGGAUGCAGCACAGCUCUCAAUAUAGUUCUGAGUUUUUAUUUAUUAGGCACCAGGAGGUUGGUCGCUGCCCCCUUCAUGACCCAUUCCAGGGCUAUGCCCUGGACUUGUUGGACUGUAAAGUGCUACGUCAUACCCGGAAUGGUUGUUUGAGAAGCUGUCACUUGAUGUUGGUCUAGGCUUGUGUCGCAUAACCUUAACAGGGGCUGGAAGAUUGAACUUUGAUGGCCUCAAUGCUUCAGCCAACUCUAAGUGCUGCUGAUGAAUAAGCAGCACAAUUACAUAAAAUACCAAAACAUGGAUUCUUGGAUGUGAAGCCAUCAAAAUCAUUUGAUAAGAGAAGUUGGAUUGUAAACAUGAACCGAGGGAAAUGAACUUGAUGGUAGCAAUGAGCCAGGCUGGUGUAUAUAUAAUAUAGGAUGGUGUGUGAAGAUUGAAGAGUAGUGCUUUGCCAGCAAUCAAUUUAAUUGAAGGGCCCAACAUGGAAAUCUUUCCAUUUUGGGUAUGAAUAACACUUCUCAGCCUACUCCAUUUCCAAAGAGCUCUGCCACUGCCACAAGUUGAUAUUCUCAUACUCCUUUUAGUUAGAUAAAAGCUUUUAGUACAGGAUUUGAUAAGACAUCACAAUACAACAAUCCCCUUGGUAUUUCUUGUUUUCUUUUAGAGCAGCCUUGUGUGGGAUAGAGCUUCUUGAAGACAGUGUUUGCUGCAAGUUGGAUACAAAAUAAAAGUAAAAAUAAACGAAAAUGGUUCUUCCACUAAAUGUUAUAAGGAUUUGCUGUCUGCUGUGCAUAUUUUCUCUGAUCAUCUUGUUCUUAGUAUAUAUAGUUCUGCACCACAUGUAUCAGUUCUGUGUACAGUGUGGAGCCAUCUUCUACAAAGUGAUUUCCUUUGUUAUUGAACAGUGAGAAAUAUCGUUUAUAGUCGCCAAUAUGGUUGCUUUAACCUGUGUUCCUAACUUCUUUACAGAGGGAUGAGAACUGCUUCCUUCUUGCAUUCUGUAUAUUUCCCCACAAUCCACAUUUUUACACUGCACUAGAUUUGUGAAGUACAAUAUUUGAGUUAUGGAACAGGUGACAACAUAUCAGUAACUGCUAUACGUGGCGAGAGAGAUUCUUGGCUAGACUUAAUUUAUACAAGUUGGACAUAUAGAGGUAAGUAUAUAUUAUUAUUGUUAUGGUUAAUGAGACACUCAUAAUAUAUUUGAAAGGGAAACAAGGGAUGAUUUCCAUUCUGUACAUUUCAUAAUGUUAUAGAUUUACCGGCAGACUACAUCUUUGUCACAUUCUAUUGCAUAUGCCUUUGCCUUCUCUCAAGAUCGAUUUUCCAUAUUUGAGUAAUAACAAAUACUUUGUGUAUUAUGUUAGUUAUAUGUAUCAUCAAACUGAUGAAUGAAUUGAAGAUUCUGUUCUUCUUGGCUCUUUACUUCAUAAACAAUGGAAAGAGCUUCUUUAAUUCAUUUAUCGGGAACAUAUGAUUAACUAAACUAUGGUUUAGCAACACACACAUGAAAAGAAAAGUUCUUGAUUAUCAUGAUCAGAUUCUUAACGAGAAUCUUAUUCUCGUGAACUUGUGCUUUUUCCUUAAGAAGCCAUCUUGAGUGCGAAAAUAGGAUAGUGCAGGAUGGAUAUCGAAGGAAAUAGAAAGCAGAAAUGAGAGGGGGAAUGGAAGAGAAUAUUCUUAACUAGGUAAGUUGUCAUUCUGUUGUUUCCACUUAACAUCCUUAGAUUCUUCAAAACAUAGUAUUCUUUGAGUGGAAGGGCGGGAUAUUAUUGUAUAUGUUAGUAUUCCAUGGUAGAAUAUUCUUUCUUAAGAAAAUGACAGUUUGACUCAAUAUUUUAUCAAAUGUGCGGCAUGUGAUCGACAAGUUUCGCAAUUUUUCAUAUUCAUUAGUUUCUUGUGAAUUGGUUAACUUCACCACAUGUUAAAGAAACAGUAAAAGGUUUAGUAAAAAACUUUAAUCCAUGUAAUGUUAUCUCUAAGUGUCGUAUAGCACCAUAUCUUACUCCAAUACCAUUGCUAUUUUCCCUUUCAUGGAGUGAAAUUCCAUUUGACAUGGAAAACAUUCAAGGAUUGAGCAUUAAAUGCACUAUUGUUUAGAUUUUAUUUUAUUAUUUUUUUUUUCACGUCAAAAGGGAUUCUGGCUACUUGGAAAGUUGGAAGAAAAUAUCUGUCAUUUUUCUUGCUUUGGAGAGAAUUAUAUAUAUUUUGCUUUGUUAGAAAAAAUAUGGAGAGUGGCACAACAUUUGAAGUGUGGAGUUUCUUAUUUUGAAGUAAGAUACAAUAAUGUUACAAAACACAGUAGAAAAGUCUAUCUAUUACUUCAUAUUCGUACUUAAGUAGAGUGAUGAUUAUUUACAAAAAAUGCAAGUUAAGAGAAGGGGAUACAAAGAAACAAAAUUAUAGGAUAUAGUUUUUGAAUGCAUAUAGAUAGUUGCUCUUUUGAGAUUUAACAUGUGAUUUGGUGGUAAACUAUACUGUUUUUCAAUUCAAAUCUUAUCAAUCUGAUCUCGGUCAGAUGUACUGAGAAAAAAUAUGCACUCUUCAACUAGAAAACUAGGAAAACAAGCACUCAUACAAAUAUAGUAAAAGCAAAGCCUUAUAGGAAAACAAACAAACAUAUAUAUAUGUGUGUGUGUGUGUAUGCUAAAACCGAAACCUAAUCUCAUUCUGCAUAUGCACAAGACUGAGGAUGAUCUCUGCUAUGGAGAUGUUUUAUUUCUUCAGCACACCAUUCUGCAUGACAAGAAACCUUAAUAAUCAAGCAGUGAUAUAUAUAUAUAUAUAUAUAUACACAUGUAUGUACCCAGGAUCAGUCUAUUAUCUCAUUUGGAGGUCUAUUGUUACCCAUCCCGGGGCUAUGUCCCGGAGCUGUAGGCCUGAACGCUCCAACUUCCUCCUCCUUGCAAGGGUUGUCGUAGGACAGAUUAUCAACUGAGGGAGGAUGGUAUCGUCUAGGCUUAUGUACCAUAACACUACUUAGAUAGGGUGCAGGUGGAGAAUGAAAUUCUGAUGGCAACCUUGAUGCUUCAGCCGCCAACUCUAAGUGUCGAUGAACUAACAGGGACAACAUAGGUAUACAAUAGACCACUAGAACAUAGAUCCUAGGAUGUGAUGCCAUUGAGCUGAGCUAAGCGAUGUGAGAUGAAUAUUUAGAUAUGAAACUUUUGAAGGAAAUGCAGUUGAUGCUUGCAGGGUUACCAUGGCUGGUGUAUAUAAGGAUGAUGGGGUCCCACAGAAGGGCAUUGGUGGUCAUAAACAAUGGCGGGUGAAGCUUCAUCUCUCAGCUCAUAGCAGGUGCCCAGGCCACUAUGAAUAGAUUAUAAUUAUAUAUAAUUCGCCGCCAUUAUAAAUAAAUAUCUGGAUUGUGAUCAUAUUCGUCUUGCAUAUUGUGUGUCUUUCUUCAUCUGUGAUGUUAUUUAGUUUCACACCUACUUUUGUUGUGUUGGUGAUCUGUUUGUGUUGCAUGUGGCUUGGAAAUGAAGUUUGGAGGUCUGUUUGUGUUGUGUUGGUGAUCUGUUUGUUGGUUUUGAACCUUUUUGAAGUUGUUGAUGUUGUGUAUAGGAGGUGUUCAAUACU